rnacentral:rRNA from 1 species
CGCAUUGGCGGCAGCUAUACAUGCAAGUCGAGCGGACAGAUGGGAGCUUGCUCCCUGAUGUUAGCGGCGGACGGGUGAGUAACACGUGGGUAACCUGCCUGUAAGACUGGGAUAACUCCGGGAAACCGGGGCUAAUACCGGAUGGUUGUCUGAACCGCAUGGUUCAGACAUAAAAGGUGGCUUCGGCUACCACUUACAGAUGGACCCGCGGCGCAUUAGCUAGUUGGUGAGGUAACGGCUCACCAAGGCGACGAUGCGUAGCCGACCUGAGAGGGUGAUCGGCCACACUGGGACUGAGACACGGCCCAGACUCCUACGGGAGGCAGCAGUAGGGAAUCUUCCGCAAUGGACGAAAGUCUGACGGAGCAACGCCGCGUGAGUGAUGAAGGUUUUCGGAUCGUAAAGCUCUGUUGUUAGGGAAGAACAAGUGCCGUUCAAAUAGGGCGGCACCUUGACGGUACCUAACCAGAAAGCCACGGCUAACUACGUGCCAGCAGCCGCGGUAAUACGUAGGUGGCAAGCGUUGUCCGGAAUUAUUGGGCGUAAAGGGCUCGCAGGCGGUUUCUUAAGUCUGAUGUGAAAGCCCCCGGCUCAACCGGGGAGGGUCAUUGGAAACUGGGGAACUUGAGUGCAGAAGAGGAGAGUGGAAUUCCACGUGUAGCGGUGAAAUGCGUAGAGAUGUGGAGGAACACCAGUGGCGAAGGCGACUCUCUGGUCUGUAACUGACGCUGAGGAGCGAAAGCGUGGGGAGCGAACAGGAUUAGAUACCCUGGUAGUCCACGCCGUAAACGAUGAGUGCUAAGUGUUAGGGGGUUUCCGCCCCUUAGUGCUGCAGCUAACGCAUUAAGCACUCCGCCUGGGGGAGUACGGUCGCAAGACUGAAACUCAAAGGAAUUGACGGGGGCCCGCACAAGCGGUGGAGCAUGUGGUUUAAUUCGAAGCAACGCGAAGAACCUUACCAGGUCUUGACAUCCUCUGACAUCCUAAAAGAUAGGACGUCCCCUUCGGGGGCAGAGUGACAGGUGGUUGCAUGCUUGUCGUCAGCUCGUGUUCGUGAGAUGUUGGGUUAAGUCCCGCAACGAGCGCAUCCUUUGAUCUUAGUUGCCAGCAUUCAGUUGGCACUCUAAAGGGUGACUGACCGGUGGACUACUGGAGCGGUGGAUGACGUCAAUCAUCAAUGCCUUAUGACUGAGCCUACACCCGGUG